GACUCGUUAGUUACCAGCUGUUAUUCCUAGAGUGUACGCUCGUCGGAUUUUCGUUUCAACGAAACACAUCGAGCAGAUAUUGCGUCGAAUUUUGCCAGAAGCUUGGUGAUACUGAAGCUCAAACCAUCUAGAAAAUUCGAUAGGCUUUUUCUGAUAGUACCAUGAGGAAAACACAGAUCAUUGUGUGGCACAAUCGCUUCAAAUAUGGCUGUAUCUCAGUGGAGAGCAAGACUACGCCCAUGCAGGUCAUCCACAAGCCGAAACGAGGAGCCAGUUGUGAAGGUUUGACGAAUAGUCAUGGAAGACGGUCGUGUAGCAAUCCAGGAAAUUGCUCACGAAGUGGGAACAAACACAGGAUUUUAACGGAGGAUUUGAGCAUGCGAUCAAUCAACAAGACGUAAGGGAAAACACAUUUACAUAUGUAGAACUUGUGAAACCUGUUAUAACAGUAAGGUUGUAGAGAUGAUACUGCAGAAUGGAGCUGAUGUUGGAAUGAAGACAACCGGUCAUGAAACACUUCCCUGUAUCAUCAGUCUGGUGGUGGAACUGUUACUGAAAUAUGGGGCUAAACUCAAUACAAAGGCUAUGACUGGUGAAGAAAUUCUACCAUCCGGCUAAUUUAAUAGAUACAUCAUUGUGAUAUUUGCUACUCAUAUAAAUGAUGGUGAUGCUGGUGGUUGUGUCACAUGGAGCAGUUUUAAAGUAUUUUCUUAAGAUUUAAAUACGUUCCCCAGGAAAACAUUAAGUAAAACCAUUCCUGCAACACAGCAGAACAGUUUCGAAAUGUUGAACAAAAGUUUCUUUAAAAGAAAAUUUAUACCUGCAAAUCUAAGAACUCAAUUAAAUAUUUACCUUUUCAAUUAAAAAGUGAUUUUCAUUGAAA